UUUUUUCUUUAAAAUUUUCCAUUUUAAAUUGGUUAUUUCUGAUUUAUAUAUAAAAGCAAAUGAUAAUGAUAUGGUUUGAAUAGGUAAAUUAAAAUUUUUUAAGUUCUUAGACCACAUUCAUUCUGUGUCAGAAACCUAUGAUGUGUCAAAUAUUUAAUCACAAUCCAAAUUCAGUGCUGUAUCAAGCUUGAAUGUUGUGUCAAUUCUUGCCCCAACUGUUCAGGGUUCGACCUCUGCGGUCGUAUCAAGCUGCGUCCAGAGGAGCAUUUUAUUUUAAUUUGAAAAAAGUAAAUGUUAUAUUUAUUAAGAAGGCAUGUUGCCUCUUAUGGAAUUAGGAUCUGGAAUGAUGAUUUUAAUAAAUAUCUAGUUAUACAAGUGGAGAGGUAGAUCAAAGAAUGUGAUGACCUUUUACAUGUUUAUCAUGUUAUGAUUAUUGUUUUACAGUUGUUUUUAUGCAGUUAAGCUGCCUUAUGCUAGUGUAGGAUUUAAUAAUGUCCCCCAUGAAAUAAUUAUUUCAUAGUAAAUACUGUCCAUGGACAAUAUUUACUUAUUUAAAUGUGUCCCGGACACAAUUUCCUAUGAAAAUAUGUCCUCAGGUAUGAAAAAGUGUCCAUGAACAUUGACAUUAUUUAACACUAUAAUUCUGUCCAGGUGGACAUUUUUUCACAGGACAUUAUGUCCGCCAGGACAUUUUUUGAUAUGAUCAAAGUAUUAAAUGAUAUCCAUUGCCUUGUUAUUACUGGACGUAUUUUAACCUAUAAUUGCGAACUUUAAUACAUUGUUACUUUGACAGAGAGUUGUCUCAUUGGCACUCAUACCAUCCUUAUCUUCUUAUUUAUAUUUUUUAAUAUAUAUACAUGUAUAUUAUUUAAAUUCAAACGAGUAACAGAUGUUGUUCAGUAUUAUUUUCCUUGGAGGACACAAUUUAAUAACAAUUACUACAAAAAAUUGUCCUGUAGGUGGACCAUAUUUCAUAACUGUUGCUGUAAAAUGCUGUCUACUUAGGGGACAAUAUUUCAUGGCAAUGGACAUUAUUUAAUACCAAAACCUCUAUAUUUUCUAUUGCUUUCUUCUCAUAAUAAAUAUAGUUAAGUUCUUCACAUUUGAUUUUAUACUUUACACACUUCCUUCUUUUUGUUCUUCUUUCAUUGUCAUUAGCAUUAGCUGGGUAUUUCUGAGUACUUAAAUGUCUCUAUAUUCACUUCCAUCCAUUAUUUGUUUGUUUACAGUUGUAUAUUAAUCAAUUUCUAAUCAAUCGUUCAGAUUUUAUUAAAAUUCAAGUAUAAUAAAAAAUGACCUUUGUAUUACUUCCAUUUGGAGGACACAAUUUAAUAGAAACUACUAUGAAAACUUGUCCUGUAGGUGGACACUAUUUCAUAACUUUUGCAGUAAAAAUCUGUCCACUUGAGGGACAAUAUUUCAUGGCAAUGGACAUUAUUUAAUACCAAAAUUCUAUGAAAAACUGUCCAGGUGGACACUUUUUCACAGGACACUAUUAUGUCUUACAUAAGUACCCUAGAUUUGUUUUUUACUCAACGAAUGCUGAUAUAGGUGUCAUUAUUGUUAUCUAACAGGCUAAUAUGUUUUUUAUAACUAAUUGGACAAUUUUUUCAUACUUUUAAUUCUGCAAUACAAAAAAUAUGGCCAAAAUAACCAUAAAUGAUCGUCGAACGACGUAUAAUAAUUGACGUUGCACAUAGGAAAUAGUGCUCAAUAGAAAUCCGUACAUUGUUUAUUAUCCCUUGUGCUUUUGGUAAAGAUGUCAAAGAUGAAUUGUAUUAAAUAUUUGAUCGCCGAAAAUUGUUAAAUACAAGUCGUUUACAUUUGCCAAAUGGCAAUAUGCGCAGGAAUAUUGUUUCUCGGGAAUUUUGAUCUAGAAGAGAAACGUGAAUAUUAAGAAUUUAUAACAAACCUCCUUGUAAAUUUGGAGGAUUCUACUGAUAUAAAGGUAAAUAUUAUUAAUCAUUAUAUUCAUUGUUUGUUUGGUUAGUGAUGAAUGUGGUUAUUUAAUUGUUCUUGAUUAAAUGUAUGCAUAAUUAAAUUCCUUCGAAGUUCCUUUAGUAUCAUUCCGUUUAUUUGUAAACUGGAAGUAAGACCAAAAUAGAAUUAUUGGCCGGAAUUCAUUAGGUACACACUGUGUAUGAUCUUCCAAUUAUGGUAAACUCCUGAGUAUUCGAAAUUAUACGCUAGGUGUCGCUUUUGUACUUUCAUUUUCAAAUGUAGGGCGUCAAUGGAUUAUACUUCAGAAAUUUCAAGUUCGUUUUAAGGAUUACAAUGUUUAUAUAGGUUACUUAAGGGAUUACAUACAUAUCAAUGAAGAGAUAAAUCAAGCGGAAACAGAUUUAUUCAUGUGACAAACUUGAUUCCAAUCUUUGGCUAAUACUAGAAGAGGCAAGGCAUACAUGUACAAUACAUGAUUCUCUCUAGAAGCUGGAUUGACUAUUCACCAUAAUAAUUCCAUAACAGCAUUACAGCAAUGAAACUCUACACAACUAUGAUGUUAUAAAGAUAUUUACAUGUAUAUCUACAGAUAUGAUCAAUUUUGAAGAUUAUUUAUGCCAGGUCAUGUCGACUAGUCAGACAAAUUUUGGUUCAGGUUUCUGACAGGAAUUAUUAUAAACUUGCCAGCAGUUACAACACAUGAAUAUUAUUUGUUAUUAAGUUUGUCUUUCGGUCUAGCCAUUUUUAGAGACUGUUUAACGAUACUUUCAGAACUAUGAUAUGUCAGAAUCUGUGAUAUAUUAUUGCACACUAUGAAGUAUACCUAGUUAUCAGAAAUUUUUUGCAUGAAGUUAUAUAAAGAUAGUUGGAAUUCAUGAUAUUGAUGCAUUGUGCAGGAACAUGAAAUAUUUUAGUUUGCAUUCUUGACAAUCCAAGAGCAAGGUUAAAUUGGAGAAUUAUUUAUUACCAUAAUUAAGCAGCAGUAUUUCGAUUAUGGAUUCUUUUCAAUUUUAUUAAUAUUUACUGAAUGCAUAUUUGUUACUUGUUUAAAUAUAUCUAAGAAA